UGCCCCAUGGCUGAGUUGGUUACAGCGUCCGACUGUUAUGUGACAGCAAAUGAUAAAACUUUACUCCAUCGGAAGGUCGAGAGUUCGAGCCUCUCUGGGGCAG